rnacentral:rRNA from 1 species
CCUACGGGUGGCUGCAGUGGGGAAUCUUGCGCAAUGGGCGAAAGCCUGACGCAGCGACGCCGCGUGGGUGAUGAAGGCCUUCGGGUUGUAAAGCCCUGUGGGAGGAGACGAAUAAGUCGGAGCGAACAGCUCCGAUGAUGACGGUAUCCUCUUAGCAAGCACCGGCUAACUCUGUGCCAGCAGCCGCGGUAAGACAGAGGGUGCAAACGUUGUUCGGAAUUACUGGGCGUAAAGCGUGUGUAGGCGGCUCUGUAGGUCGGAUGUGAAAUCCCUCG